UCCUGUAUGGCGCAGUGGUAGCGCGUCCCACUUGUAUGCGUAUAUGGGGAGGUCCGUUGUUCAACCCAGCGUGCAGGAA